ACCUGGUGUGUAAUCGGCGAGCGCUGUACUCCACCACACAGGCAAUGGUAUCAGUUGGGAAUUUCCUUGGAUAUCUGUUAUUUGGCUGCCUGAUCGAAAUGAUUGGUCGCCGACGGUCUGUGUUACUAAGUGGUGCGUUAUCGUUUGUGACUGGGAUGGUAACGGCUUUGUCCCCAACUCUCGCUUUCUACAUGGUGAUGCGCAUCUUGGUCGCUGCAUCUUGCAUUGGGUACUACAGCGGCUGCUUGAUCAUCUGUCUCGAAAUUUGCUCACCAAAACACCGAUCAAUAAUUGGAUCGCUCUACGCUAUUCCCUGGGCAGUGGGUUACAUGGUGCUGCCCGGGGUAGCCUACCUGGUGAGGGACUGGCAGAUGCUGCAGGUCGCCCUCACUAUCCCCAGUAUCUUCUUUGUCAUAUAUAUCUGGUA